rnacentral:rRNA from 1 species
GAUGAACGCUGGCGGCGUGCUUAACACAUGCAAGUCGAACGGACAUGUCUUUCGGGAUAUGUUAGUGGCAGACGGGUGCGUAACACGUAGGUGACCUGCCCUGGAGUGGGGAAUAACUAUCCUAACGGAUAGCUAAUACCGCAUAUGCUCGGCGAUUCAUUUUGCCGAGUAAAGUCGAAAGGCGCUUCAGGAUGGGCCUGCGGCGGAUUAGGUAGUUGGUGGGGUAAUGGCCUACCAAGGCGACGAUCUGUAACUGGUCUGAGAGGAUGAUCAGUCACACUGGAACUGAGACACGGUCCAGACUCCUACGGGAGGCAGCAGUGGGGAAUAUUGGACAAUGGGCGCAAGCCUGAUCCAGCAAUACCGCGUGUGUGAAGAAGGCCUUAGGGUUGUAAAGCACUUUUAAUCAGGAGGAAUACCUAUUAGUUAAUACCUAGUAGAAUGACAUUACUGAUAGAAAAAGCACCGGCUAACUCCGUGCCAGCAGCCGCCGUAACAC